rnacentral:rRNA from 1 species
GUGCCAGCAGCCGCGGUAAUACGUAGGUGGCAAGCGUUGUCCGGAUUUAUUGGGCGUAAAGCGAGCGCAGGCGGAAAGAUAAGUCAGAUGUGAAAGCCCUCGGCUUAACCGAGGAAUAGCAUCGGAAACUGUCUUUCUUGAGUGCAGAAGAGGAGAGUGGAACUCCAUGUGUAGCGGUGGAAUGCGUAGAUAUAUGGAAGAACACCAGUGGCGAAGGCGGCUCUCUGGUCUGUAACUGACGCUGAGGCUCGAAAGCAUGGGUAGCGAACAGGAUUAGAUACCCUGGUAGUCCAUGCUGUAAACGAUGAGUGCUAAGUGUUGGGAGGUUUCCGCCUCUCAGUGCUGCAGCUAACGCAUUAAGCACUCCGCCUGGGGAGUACGACCGCAAGGUCAAA